rnacentral:rRNA from 1 species
CUCAAUAUCAUCGGAUGAGGUGUGGUUCGUAGUGAAAAGCUUAUCGAGCUUGGUAAUAGCUGGUUCUCCCCGAAAUGCGUUUUGGCGCAGCGGUAUGGAGUAACAUGGGGGGUAGAGCACUGAUUGGUUUGCCGUGCCCUUUAGGGUAGGUUUACCAAAUAAACUCCGAAUACCCAUGCGAAAUCUAUACCAGUGAGUCCGUGAGGGCAAAGCUUCACGUACGCGAGGGAAACAGCCCAGAUCACCGCUUAAGGUCCCUAAAUUUAUGCUAAGUGUUAAAGGAAGUAUUUUGCCUUAGACAGGUAGGAGGUUGGCUUAGAAGCAGCCACCCUUUAAAGAGUGCGUAACAGCUCACUACUCGAACUCCGAUUUAUCGGGGAAGGCAAAGUGCGCCGAAAAUGUAACGGGGCUAAGCAUAGUACCGAAAGCGUGGGUUCGCAUUUAUUUAUAUUUGCGAGCGGUAGGGGAGCAUUCCUAGUGCAGCGAAGGUCAACUGUGAAGUUGGCUGGAGCGCUAGGAAGGGAGAAUGUUGGGAUGAGUAACCACAAGACCGGUGAAAGACCGGUCCGCCGAAAGCCCGAGGUUUCCUCCGCGAUGGCAAUCAUCGGAGGGUUAGGCGGUCCUAAGGAUAACCCAGCUUAAGGGCUGGGGAGGCCGAUGGAGAGCCGGUUAAUAUUCCGGCCCUCCGAUCCUGUUCGAUGGGAUGACGGAGUGCAGUAGUUCGAGCGCAUUAUUGGAUUUGCGUCCAUAGCGUGAGAGUGCGAUGCAGGCAAACCCGCAUCGCGCCGCAAGGCAAACUCAAGCGUCGUGGAAAUCGCCGUAAGGCGAAAUUCGAGCGAGCGCGCUUCCAAGAAAAGUCCCUAAAAUUAACAGGAUCGGAACCGUACCGCAAACCGACACUGGUAGGCAGGUCGAUAAGACCAAGGCUAACGGGUUUUUAUUGGCUAAGGAACUCGGCAAAAAAGCGGCCGUACCUUCGGUAUAAGGCCUUCCCUCCCCACUUUUGGUAUAGUAAAAUCUCGCCAUGUGGAUCGUAUAUCUAAUACAAAACAUGAUAUCU